rnacentral:SRP_RNA from 1 species
CCGUGCUAGGUGGGGCGCCAGCGGUGCCCUGACUCCCGCAAGGGACGACCCGUAAUCCGCUAUAGCGGGGCUGAAUCCCUCGUCGAGGGUCGUUUGCGACCGGUCUCCCCGUUGGGCCGGCGGUGAUGAAGGUUGGGUCCUCUGCAACGACGCGCCGUGAACCUGGUCAGGUCCGGAAGGAAGCAGCCAUAAGCGAGCUUGUGUCGUGUGCCGGAGGGUAGCCUGGCUGGAGCCGUCGUGCCCCCGCGGGCCCGGUGGCGGCGAUUCGACGCGAGGUGCACGG